rnacentral:rRNA from 1 species
GAUGAACGCUGGCGGCGUGCCUAACACAUGCAAGUCGAGCGGUAAGGCCCUUCGGGGUAUACGAGCGGCGAACGGCUGAGUAACGCGUGGGAAUCCACCCCAGAGUGAGGGAUAAGCACCGGAAACGGUGUCUAAUACCGCAUACGCUCUUUGGAGUAAAGCUUUAUGCGCUUUGGGAGGAGCUCGCGUCCGAUUAGGUUGUUGGUGAGGUAAUGGCUCACCAAGCCGACGAUCGGUAGCUGGUCUGAGAGGAUGAUCAGCCAGACUGGAACUGAGACACGGUCCAGACUCCUACGGGAGGCAGCAGUGAGGAAUCUUCCACAAUGGGCGAAAGCCUGAUGGAGCAACGCCGCGUGCAGGAUGAAAGCCUUCGGGUUGUAAACUGCUUUUAUAUGGGAGCAAUAAGGUCUACGUGUAGACUGAUGAGAGUACCAUAUGAAUAAGCAUCGGCUAACUCCGUG